AGAGUUUGAUCCUGGCUCAGGAUGAACGCUGGCGGCGUGCUUAACACAUGCAAGUCGAACGCACCUUCGGGUGAGUGGCGGACGGGUGAGUAGCGCGUGGGAAUCUGCCCUCAGGAGGGGGAUAACGGCUGGAAACGGCCGCUAAUACCCCAUAUGCCGAGAGGUGAAACGAAUUUCGCCUGAGGAUGAGCCCGCGUCUGAUUAGCUAGUUGGUGGGGUAAUGGCCCACCAAGGCGACGAUCAGUAGCUGGUCUGAGAGGAUGAUCAGCCACACUGGGACUGAGACACGGCCCAGACUCCUACGGGAGGCAGCAGUGGGGAAUUUUCCGCAAUGGGCGAAAGCCUGACGGAGCAACGCCGCGUGAGGGAUGAAGGCCUCUGGGCUGUAAACCUCUUUUCUCAAGGAAGAAGACAUGACGGUACUUGAGGAAUAAGCCACGGCUAAUUCCGUGCCAGCAGCCGCGGUAAUACGGGAGUGGCAAGCGUUAUCCGGAAUUAUUGGGCGUAAAGCGUCCGCAGGCGGCCCUGUAAGUCUGUCGUUAAAGCGUGGAGCUUAACUCCAUUUAAGCGAUGGAAACUACGGGGCUUGAGUGUGGUAGGGGCAGAGGGAAUUCCCGGUGUAGCGGUGAAAUGCGUAGAUAUCGGGAAGAACACCAGUGGCGAAGGCGCUCUGCUGGGCCAUAACUGACGCUCAUGGACGAAAGCCAGGGGAGCGAAAGGGAUUAGAUACCCCUGUAGUCCUGGCCGUAAACGAUGAACACUAGGUGUCGGGGGAAUCGACCCCCUCGGUGUCGUAGCCAACGCGUUAAGUGUUCCGCCUGGGGAGUACGCACGCAAGUGUGAAACUCAAAGGAAUUGACGGGGGCCCGCACAAGCGGUGGAGUAUGUGGUUUAAUUCGAUGCAACGCGAAGAACCUUACCAGGGUUUGACAUCCUGCGAAUCCCUUGGAAACUUGGGAGUGCCUUCGGGAGCGCAGAGACAGGUGGUGCAUGGCUGUCGUCAGCUCGUGUCGUGAGAUGUUGGGUUAAGUCCCGCAACGAGCGCAACCCACGUCUUUAGUUGCCAGCAUUCAGUUGGGCACUCUAGAGAGACCGCCGGUGAUAAACCGGAGGAAGGUGUGGAUGACGUCAAGUCAUCAUGCCCCUUACAUCCUGGGCUACACACGUACUACAAUGCUACGGACAAAGGGCAGCAAGCUCGCGAGAGUUAGCAAAUCCCAUAAACCGUGGCUCAGUUCAGAUCGUAGGCUGCAACUCGCCUACGUGAAGGAGGAAUCGCUAGUAAUCGCAGGUCAGCAUACUGCGGUGAAUACGUUCCCGGGCCUUGUACACACCGCCCGUCACACCAUGGAAGUUGGCCAUGCCCGAAGUCGUUACUCCAACCC
rnacentral:rRNA from 1 species